GACAGAGGGUGCAAACGUUGUUCGGAAUUACUGGGCGUAAAGCGCGUGUAGGCUGCUAUGCAAGUCGGGUGUGAAAUCCCACGGCUCAACCGUGGAAGUGCACUCGAAACUACGUAGCUGGAGUUCUGGAGAGGAAGGUGGAAUGCUCGGUGUAGAGGUGAAAUGCGCAGAUAUCGGGAGGAACACCUAUUGCGAAGGCAGCUCGCUGGGACGUCACUGACGCUGAGACGCGAAAGCGUGGGGAGCAAACAGG
rnacentral:rRNA from 1 species